GAAAUGCGAUAAGUAAUGUGAAUUGCAGAAUUCAGUGAAUCAUCGAAUCUUUGAACGCACAUUGCGCCCGCCAGCACUCUGGCGGGCAUGCCUGUCCGAGCGUCAUUUCAACCCUCAGGACCCCUUCGGGGGACCUGGCGUUGGGGAUCGGCCCGCCCUCGUGCGGGCCGGCCCCGAAUUACAGUGGCGGCCCCAUCGCGAGCUCCCCUGCGCAGUAGCGAUACCUCGCAGCCGGAUAGCGGUGCGGCCACGCCGUAAAACACCCCACUUCUUCAAGGUUGACCUCGGAUCAGGUAGGAAUACCCGCUGAACUUAA
rnacentral:misc_RNA from 1 species